rnacentral:rRNA from 1 species
UACAGAGGGUGCGAGCGUUGUUCGGAAUUAUUGGGCGUAAAGGGCGCGUAGGCGGCGCCACAAGUCACUUGUGAAAACUCUGGGCUCAACUCAGAGCCUGCAAGCGAAACUGUGGUGCUGGAGUAUGGGAGAGGUGCGUGGAAUUCCCGGUGUAGCGGUGAAAUGCGUAGAUAUCAGGAGGAACACCUGUGGCGAAAGCGGCUCACUGGACCACAACUGACGCUGAUGCACGAAAGCUAGGGGAGCAAACAGG